CCAUGUUGGUGCGUCGUGGUAUGCUGAUGGUGUAUUCAUACCCGUAAUGCCAACAUGCAU
rnacentral:pre_miRNA from 1 species